GCGAGCGUGGCGGAAUGGUAGACGCCGGGGACUUAAAAUCCCCUGUCCUUUGGACGUGCGGGUUCGAGUCCCGCCGCUCGCACCA
rnacentral:tRNA from 1 species